CCUUGUACACACCGCCCGUCACACCAUGGGAGUCUGUUGCACCAGAAGUGGCUAGCUUAACCGAAAGGGGGGCGGUUACCACGGUGUGGCCGAUGACUGGGGUG
rnacentral:rRNA from 1 species